GCCUAAAUAUUUUCACAGCUACCACGCGGCCCACGUUCUUCUUUUUUUACGAUUAUCAUCUUCUUUUUUUCCCUUUUUACGAUUAUCAUGAAAGGUUACUGAAACAUGUGUUCGAAGACUCAUUAGAAAGCGACGCUGACGACGAACAACAACAAUUACCAUCCUGCAAGUAAACGGUCAUGAAUCUCAUUCAACCAUCAAUCAAGCUACAAACCGUACAUGGCAACCAAUUAAGCAAAUCAACGGCUUGUGGCUUUGCGGGGACUUUCUAUCUUCCCAACAACAGUCUACGCUGCUUUCCCAUAUUCAAAACGAGGGAUGGUUCACCGAGUCCACAAACAAUCAGGUAUAGCAGUAGUCAGUAAACAAACCUCAAUCCAGCUACUCGAAGCACAACAAGUUCGUUUUUCUUGUUCCUGUUCGGGUUUCGGUUCCGGUUUUUGCAAGCAUUAAUCAAAAUGAUGUGGGAUUCAAUUUUUUAAGAUAACCGCAGCUUGAACGUGGGAAAUCUGUUUGGGAGUUACAAUAAUCGUUGGCUUCGAAGUUGCAGUUGAGUUCAUUCGUGAAUACCCAAGUAAUUAGACUCAACUAAAGAUGGGAAUUUUAGUUUCAAUAUCUCUGAGCUUGAAGCCUUGCUACUAUAUGGUUUUUGGAUUACACAGUAUAGGAUAUGGAACUGUAGCUGCAAUAGUUGGGUUAUCUUAGGAAAGCAACUCUGCAUGUUUAAAUUUCAUUAAUCAAUUGCUUAUAAUUAUAUACAAGAAGCAAUACAGAGCUUAAAGAUUUCAUGCAUAUGUAAGGCAUCGAUUUGUGUCUGAUAAAAGAAAGUUAGUCCUUUAUUUCAACGAGUAACAUGUUGGCUUGUAGUAAUGCAUUUGCUGCGUAUUGGAUGUGGCAAAGAGUCCAUUAAAGUCAAUGUUUCAUAUUGAAGCAACUGGUUUUAUAUAACUCUAUCUUGGUGUCUUUUGAUUAUGCAUUUUGGAUUGGGUGAACAAAUAUCGAAAAAGAGCUAAAGAAUUCA